CAAGCGAUGUGGGUGUGUCCUCUUGGCCCCCGCCUCUCUGACCCCGCCCCCUCCGCUGGGCGUGGCCGGUGGGGGGAGGGGCGGGGCCGUGACCGCCAAUAAACCCUCGGUGACCGCGAUGGCUCCGCCCACUUUGUGAGGGGGGAGGGGCUUAACAGGGGGGCGUGGCCUGAGCGCCAAAGGGGGCGGGGCUAAACCCGCCAGAUUCCUCCUAAAUCUGCGGGUUUUUUCCCCAAAAAAGGCCCAUUUUAUGUCCAAAAAUUCUGGUUUUUCCCCCCAAAAAACCCGUCUUUUUGUCCCCAAAAUAAAAUAAAAAACCCACCCAAUUCUGCCUUUUUUUCCCCCAAAAAUGUGGGGUUUUUUCCCUCAAAAUUCUCCUUGGUUGGUUCUUUGUCCCCAAAUUCCCCGUUUAUCCCCCCCUAAAAACCAGAUUUUUUUUUUUUUUAAAUUUUUUUUUCUCCCAAAAUUCCAUUUAUUUCCCCUCAAACGCCCCCGGAGUCACCCCGGGGUCAAAGGUCACUCUGGGAGGUCGAUGGACACUCUGGGGUCAGAGGUCACUCGGGGGUCACUCCAGGGUCAAAGGUCACUCCAGGAGAUCGAUGGUCACUCCAGAGUCAGAGGUCACUCUGGGGUCACUCCAGGGUCAAAGGUCACUCCAGGAGAUCGAUGGUCACUCCGGGAUCACUCAGAGGUCAAAGGUCACUCUGGGAGGUCAAUGGUCACUCGGGGGUCACUCCAGGGUCAAAGGUCACUCCAGGAGAUCGAUGGUCACUCCAGGGUCACUCCAGGGUCAAAGGUCACUCCAAGGUCAAAGGUCACUCCAGGGUCACUCCAGGGUCAAAGGUCACUCCAGGGUCACUCAGAGGUCA